GAUGAAGAACGCAGUGAAAUGCGAUAAGUAGUGUGAAUUGCAGAAUUCAGUGAAUCAUCGAAUCUUUGAACGCACAUUGCGCCUCCUGGUAUUCCGGGAGGCAUGCCUGUUCGAGCGUCAUUAAAAUCACUCAAGCUUAGGUUUACCUAUUGCUUGGUCUUGGAGAUGGAAGCCAAUUCAUUGGAAUCCUCUUCGAAAUCCAAUGGCGAAGACCCUUGCUCUCCCAAGUGUAGUAAUAACUUAUGUCACUGAAGGAAGCGAGAAAUCUUCCGCCGUAACCCCCAUAUUUUCUAUGAUUGACCUCGGAUCAGGUAGGGAUACCCGCUGAACUUAAGCAUAUCAAUAAGCGGAGGA
rnacentral:misc_RNA from 1 species